rnacentral:rRNA from 1 species
UACGUAGGGGGCUAGCGUUGUCCGGAUUUAUUGGGCGUAAAGAGCGCGUAGGCGGCCAAGUAGGUCCGGUGUGAAAACUCGAGGCUUAACCUCGAGAUGUCAUCGGAAACCAUUUGGCUAGAGUCCGGAAGAGGAAAGUGGAAUUCCUGGUGUAGCGGUGAAAUGCGCAGAUAUCGUUUGGAACGCCAAAGGUGAAAACAGACAGCUGGGAGUGUGCUGACGCUGAGGAACGAAAGCGUGGGGAGCGAACAGG